rnacentral:tRNA from 1 species
GUGAGAAUGCCAGAAUUUAUGGAGGUGAUUUAGGUUCAUUUUAUGAUGUUUAUCUUCUCAUU